rnacentral:rRNA from 1 species
GACGGAGGGGGCUAGCGUUGUUCGGAAUUACUGGGCGUAAAGCGCACGUAGGCGGCCUUUCAAGUCAGAUGUGAAAGCCCCGGGCUUAACCCGGGAAUUGCAUUUGAUACUGUUAGGCUUGAGACCGGGAGAGGAUAGCGGAAUUCCCAGUGUAGAGGUGAAAUUCGUAGAUAUUGGGAAGAACACCAGUGGCGAAGGCGGCUAUCUGGACCGGUACUGACGCUGAGGCGCGAAAGCGUGGGUAGCAAACAGG